UACCGCAAACCGACACAGGUAGGCGGGUAGAGGAUACCCAGGCGCGCGAGAGAACUAUCGUUAAGGAACUAGGCAAACUGGCCCCGUAACUUCGGGAGAAGGGGUGCCGGGGAACGGGGAGGCUGUAACGCCGAACUCAACUCCGGUCGCAGUGACAGGGCUCGAGCGACUGUUUAACAAAAACACAGGUCUCUGCUAGGGGGAAACCCGCAGUAUAGGGGCUGACGCCUGCCCAACGCCAGAAGGUUAAAGGGAGAGGUGAAGGGGAGCCUUCGGGCAAACUGGCAGCUUUGAACUGAAGCCCUGGUGAGUGGCGGCCGUAACUAUAACGGUCCUAAGGUAGCGAAAUUCCUUGUCGGGUAAGUUCCGACCUGCACGAAUGGCGUAACGACUUGAGCGCUGUCUCAACGAUAGACUCGGUGAAAUUGUAGCACCUGUGAAGAUGCAGGUUACCCACAAUAGGACGGAAAGACCCCGUGGAGCUUUACUACACCCUGUCAUUGUGUUCUCUGCUGGUCUGUAGAGCGUAGGUGGGAGCCCGCAAGGGCGCCAAUGGAACACCACCCUGGCCAGUGGGGAGCACUAACCGGUGCGGGUUCGCAGCCCGACCGAGACCGUGGCAGGCGGGUAGUUUGACUGGGGCGGUCGCCUCCCAAAAUGUAACGGAGGCGUCCAAAGGUUCCCUCGGCCUGGUUGGAAAUCAGGCGCAAAGAGUAUAAGGGCACAAGGGAGCUUGACGGUGAGAGCGACAGCUCGAGCCGGGACGAAAGUCGGGCCUAGUGACCCUCUGGUGGGGUGUGGAACCGCCAGGGCUUAACGGAUAAAAGUUACCCCGGGGAUAACAGGCUUAUCUUGCCCAAGCGCUCACAGCGACGGCAAGGUUUGGCACCUCGAUGUCGGCUCGUCGCAUCCUGGGGCUGGAUUAGGUCCCAAGGGUUAGGCUGUUCGCCUAUUAAAGCGGUACGCGAGCUGGGUUCAGAACGUCGUGAGACAGUUCGGUCCCUAUCCAUUGUGGGCGGAAGAGUAUUGAGAGGAGCUGCUCCUAGUACGAGAGGACCGGAGUGGACUGACCGCUGGUGUACCUGUUGUUGCGCCCGCAGCAGAAGCAGGGUAGCUAUGUCGGGAAGGGAUAAGCGCUGAAAGCAUCUAAGCGCGAAGCUCGCCUCAAGAUGAGUACUCUCACCAGGUUAGCUGGGUAAGGCCCGUGGUAGAGAACCACGUUGAUAGGCGGUCCCUGGAAGCGCUGCAAGGCGUGGAGGGCAGCCGUACUAAUCGGCCGAGGGCAAAAAAAA
rnacentral:rRNA from 1 species